rnacentral:rRNA from 1 species
AGCGAACGCUGGCGGCAUGCCUAACACAUGCAAGUCGCACGCCCCGCGAGGGGAGUGGCGGACGGGUGCGUAACGCGUAGGGAUCUGUCCCGAGGUGGGGGAUAACCCUGGGAAACUAGGGCUAAUACCGCAUGACACCUAAGGGUCAAAGGCGCGAGUCGCCUUGGGAGGAACCUGCGUCCGAUUAGCUAGUUGGUGGGGUAAAGGCCUACCAAGGCGACGAUCGGUAGCUGAUCUGAGGGGAUGAUCAGCCACACUGGGACUGAGACACGGCCCAGACUCCUACGGGAGGCAGCAGUGGGGAAUAUUGGACAAUGGGCGAAAGCCUGAUCCAGCAAUGCCGCGUGGGUGAAGAAGGUCUUCGGAUUGUAAAGCCCUUUCGGCGGGGACGAUGAUGACGGUACCCGCAGAAGAAGCCCCGGCUAACUUCGUGCCAGCAGCCGCAGUAAGAC